UACGUAGGCGGAAAAUUAAGUCAGUAGUGAAAUCCUGCAGCGCAACUGUAGAACUGUUAUUGAUACUGGUUUUCUUGAAUGUAGUUGAGGUAGGCGGAAUGUGUAAUGUAGCGGUGAAAUGCUUAGAUAUUACACAGAACACCGAUUGCGAAGGCAGCUUACUAAGCUACGAUUGACGCUGAGGUACGAAAGCGUGGGGAGCGAACAGGAUUAGAUACCCUGGUAGUCC
rnacentral:rRNA from 1 species